ACGGCUCAGUAACACGUGGAUAACUGCCCUAUGCUCUGGGAUAACCUUGGGAAACUGAGAAUAAUACCGGAUAGAUCACAACGCCUGGAACGGUGUGUGGUUGAAAGGUUACGGCAUAGGAUGGGUCUGCGGCGUAUCAGGUCGUAGGGGGUGUAAUGGACCUCCUAGCCAUCGACGCGUACGGGUGUUGGGAGACAUAGCCCGGAGACGGAUUCUGAGACACGAAUCCAGACCCCACGGGGUGCAGCAGGCGCGAAAACUUCACACUGCAGGAAACUGCGAUGAGGGAACUCCAAGUGACUACACAUUUGUGUAGCUCUUUUCUUAACUAUUAAUCGGUUUUGGAAUAAGGGCUGGGAAAGACCGGUGCCAGCCGCCGCGGUAAUACCGGCAGCUCGAGUGGUCGUCGCUUUUAUUGGGCCUAAAACGUCCGUAGCCGGUUUGGUAAAUCUGUGGGUAAAUCAACUAGCUUAACUAGUUGAAUUCUGCAGAGACUGCCAGACUAGGAACCGGGAGAGGUGUGGGGUACUCAAGGGGUAGGGGUAAAAUCCUGUCAUCCUUUGAGGACCACCAGUUGCGAAGGCGCCACACUAGAACGGAUUCGACGGUCAGGGACGAAGCCUAGGGGCACGAACCGGAUUAGAUACCCGGGUAGCCCUAGGUGUAAACGCUGUGAACUUGGUGUCGGGAGUCCGCAAUGGGCCCCCGGUGCCGGAGUGAAGAUGUUAAGUUCACUGCCUGGGGAGUACGGUCGCAAGGCUGAGACUUAGAGGAAUUGGCGGGGGAGCA
rnacentral:rRNA from 1 species